rnacentral:pre_miRNA from 1 species
CUUAUACUCCCUCCGUCCGGAAAUACUUGUCAUCAAAAUGAACAAAAAGGAUGUAUCUAGAACUAAAAUACGUCUAGAUACAUCUUCUUUUAUCCAUUUUGAUGACAAAUAUUUCCGGACGGAGGGAGUACUCA